AGCUUUGCACAGUGGCAGUAUAAUAGUCAAUGAAGUUUAGCCAUGGCUCAAUUAUUGCUAAUUGAAAACUAUUCCAAAAAUA
rnacentral:snRNA from 1 species